AGUUUGAUCCUGGCUCAGGAUGAACGCUAGCUACAGGCUUAACACAUGCAAGUCGAGGGGCAGCAUGGUCUUAGCUUGCUAAGGCCGAUGGCGACCGGCGCACGGGUGAGUAACACGUAUCCAACCUGCCGUCUACUCUUGGACAGCCUUCUGAAAGGAAGAUUAAUACAAGAUGGCAUCAUGAGUCCGCAUGUUCACAUGAUUAAAGGUAUUCCGGUAGACGAUGGGGAUGCGUUCCAUUAGAUAGUAGGCGGGGUAACGGCCCACCUAGUCUUCGAUGGAUAGGGGUUCUGAGAGGAAGGUCCCCCACAUUGGAACUGAGACACGGUCCAAACUCCUACGGGAGGCAGCAGUGAGGAAUAUUGGUCAAUGGGCGAGAGCCUGAACCAGCCAAGUAGCGUGAAGGAUGACUGCCCUAUGGGUUGUAAACUUCUUUUAUAAAGGAAUAAAGUCGGGUAUGCAUACCCGUUUGCAUGUACUUUAUGAAUAAGGAUCGGCUAACUCCGUGCCAGCAGCCGCGGUAAUACGGAGGAUCCGAGCGUUAUCCGGAUUUAUUGGGUUUAAAGGGAGCGUAGAUGGAUGUUUAAGUCAGUUGUGAAAGUUUGCGGCUCAACCGUAAAAUUGCAGUUGAUACUGGAUAUCUUGAGUGCAGUUGAGGCAGGCGGAAUUCGUGGUGUAGCGGUGAAAUGCUUAGAUAUCACGAAGAACUCCGAUUGCGAAGGCAGCCUGCUAAGCUGCAACUGACAUUGAGGCUCGAAAGUGUGGGUAUCAAACAGGAUUAGAUACCCUGGUAGUCCACACGGUAAACGAUGAAUACUCGCUGUUUGCGAUAUACGGCAAGCGGCCAAGCGAAAGCGUUAAGUAUUCCACCUGGGGAGUACGCCGGCAACGGUGAAACUCAAAGGAAUUGACGGGGGCCCGCACAAGCGGAGGAACAUGUGGUUUAAUUCGAUGAUACGCGAGGAACCUUACCCGGGCUUAAAUUGCAGAUGAAUUACGGUGAAAGCCGUAAGCCGCAAGGCAUCUGUGAAGGUGCUGCAUGGUUGUCGUCAGCUCGUGCCGUGAGGUGUCGGCUUAAGUGCCAUAACGAGCGCAACCCUUGUUGUCAGUUACUAACAGGUUCCGCUGAGGACUCUGACAAGACUGCCAUCGUAAGAUGUGAGGAAGGU
rnacentral:rRNA from 1 species